rnacentral:rRNA from 1 species
AUGCUUGUUACUGCAUAUUCUGAUGCAGACUGGACAGGUUGCCCUGAUGACAGAAGGUCCACAAGUGGUUUUGCUGUGUUUCUGGGAAUAAAUCUCGUAUCAUGGAGUGCAAGAAAACAGGCUACAGUUUCAAGGUCAAGCACUGAGGCUGAGUAUAAAGCUUUGGCAAAUGCAACAGCUGAAGUAAUAUGGAUACAGACUUUACUUUAUGAGCUUGGUAUUAAGGCUCCACAAGCUGCUAGGUUAUGGUGUGAUAACAUUGGUGCUACCUAUCUUUCAGCCAAUCCUGUUUUCCAUGCACGUACCAAACAUAUUGAAGUUGAUUUUCACUUUGUCAGAGAAAGAGUAGCUCGAAAGCUACUUGACAUUCGGUUCAUACCUACAGGAGACUAA